UACGAGGGGGGCAAGCGUUGUUCGGAUUUAUUGGGCGUAAAGAGCUCGUAGGCGGCUUGGCAAGUCGGGUGUGAAAACUUCAGGCUCAACCUGGAGCGGCCACUCGAUACUGCCAUGGCUUGAGUCCGGUAGGGGACCACGGAAUUCCUGGUGUAGCGGUGAAAUGCGCAGAUAUCAGGAGGAACACCAGUGGCGAAGGCGGUGGUCUGGGCCGGAACUGACGCUGAGGAGCGAAAGCGUGGGUAGCAAACAGG
rnacentral:rRNA from 1 species